UUUUGGAGGCCCCAGCGAGAUCCCCGCGUGGGAACCCAUGGUUCGGCCGAUACUCCGUGUCGGGAUCCAGCAGGAGACCCUCGGACAUAGACCUCAGAAAACCUCUGGAGGAAACUCUGCUCCCUGUGCCAAACUGGAAUGGCCAGCUUUUGAGGUGGGAUGGCCAGCCGAAGGGACUUCUGACCCCAGUAUUUGCCGGAAGCUGUGGGACAAAGUCACCGGUCGCCCUGGCCAUCCAGACCAAUUUCCCUACAUAGACAUCUGGGUUCAGGCUUGUGAGGAACCCCCAGCUUGGCUGCAGCACUGCUCUCUUCGAACAGACACUCGCAUUUUAGUCGCUGCCCCGGAAGGACCCCGGGGACUUAAGACCCAGACUCCCAAGCAGGUACUCUCGCAGGAACCUGACCCCCUAGACCCCUUGGGAGGGCCUCCGCCCUAUGUGGAAUCCUCCACCUCCUCAGAUAGAUCAUGCUCUAGACCCUGAAAUCCUUUCCUUCCUCCAUCUGUUCAACCUUUGGCCCCUACCCUUCUCUAUCCUCCUCUCCCUGAGGGGCCCCAGUCCCUGGACUCAGUGACUUCUUCCCCACACACGCAAGCUGGGGCUGUGUAUGGACCUAGCAAGGUCCCCGUGGGGAAACUAGUUAGUAGGCUCCUCUCUUGCCCCUUCGGGAGACUGAGCAAUGUUACUAUAUUUAUAUCCCUUUCACUACCAGUGACUUAUACAACUGGAAACACCAGAAUCCUCCUUUUUCAGAGAAACCCCAAGCUCUAAUCUCUCUCCUGGAGUCUAUCUUUCAUACCCAUGAUCCUACUUGGGAUGAUUGCCAACAACUCCUCCAGGCCCUUUUUACCUCAGAGGAGAGGGAAAGAAUCUGGGGACAAGCUGUAAGGUCGGUACUAGAUGGAACAGAGGGCCCCCUAGAUGAGCAGCAGCUGGCCUGUAUUGAGGCAUAACUCCCAUCCACCCGACCCCGCUGGCAAGUUAAUUCCUUGGGUAGGAGAGAGGCUGUCCAGAACUAUCGUCAGCAUCUCCUGGCUGGCCUGAGGGGAGCUGCUUGGAAGCCUACCAAUUUGAGCAAGGUAAGCGAGGUCCUUCAAGGAUCAGAGGAAUCAAUCCCCUUCUGCCUUUUUGGAGUGUCUGUUGGAAGCAUACCGUAUGUAUACUCCCAUCGAUCCAGACGGUCCUGCAAAUCCGCAGGCAAUAAAUUUGGCAUUUGCUACCCAGUCGGCCCCAGACAUUAAAAAGAAGCUGCAAAGGCUAGAAGGAUUUGAGGGAGAGAACAGAGAAAAGUUGAUGAGUGUAGCCAUGAAGGCGUUUAACAACAGGAAUCCCCCGGAAGAGAAAAUGGCCAAGAGACUGGAAAAAGCGACCAUAGCCACCUUGGCUGAUGGAGGAUUUGUCCAAAAAGAAAGACCUGAAAACAAAGGAGGGAACAAGGGAAAGAUCUGACCCUCAUUAGAAAAAGAUCAGUGUGCCUAUUACAAAGAAAAGGGCCAUUUUAAAAGGGAUUGUGAAAAGCUAAAAAAAAAAAAAAAGAAAAAAGGAGGCCCAAAAGGAAAAAGGUGGAAUCCUCUUAGCAGAUAAAAAAGAUUGACGUGGUCAAGGCUCAUGGCCGCUUAACCCUAGUGAGCCUAUGGUGACUUUGGAAAUAGGGGGAACAGAUGUCCAGUUCCUUGUGGACACUGGUGCGGCCCAUUCUGUCCUAAAGACUCCCCUUGGAUCCCUCACUUCCUUAAAAACCUCCAUUACUGGAGCCACAGGAAAGUCGGCCUCCUACCCUUGGACCACUAAACAAACUGUAAAUCUAGGAAAAGGCACCGUCACCCAUUCCUUCUUAGUUAUCCCUGAGUGCCCACACCCACUGCUGGGAAGAGAUUUGCUAUGAAAAUUGGGGGCUGUUAUUUCCUUUGAGCCUGAAGGAGGGACUUUUGAACUCAAGCCACCCUCUGGCAUUAUGGUAACGGUUCCCCUAGAAGAUAAAUUUAGAUUGCUAAAGGAGGGCGCAGAGCCCCCCAAACAAAAAUGGGACUACCUUCAGAAAAAGUUUCCCAGGGUAUAGGCUGAAGCCAAUCCACCUGGGCUGGCCAAACACCAUGCCCUGGUGGUGGUCCAAUUGUUGGCCUCUGCUACCCCCGUCCAUGUGCAACAAUACCCCCUCCGGCUGGAGGCCAAGGUGGGGAUCUCUAAGCACAUCCACCGACUCCAGGAAGUCGGCAUCUUGGUCCCUUGCCAAUCAGCCUGAAAUACACCCCUGCUUCCUGUGAGGAAGGCUGGCACCUCAGACUUCAGACCGGUACAGGAUUUGUAGGAGGUAAACAGCCGGGUGGAGACCAUCCACCCAACGGUACCAAACCCCUAUACUCUAUUGAGUCUCAUCCCUCCUGCUCAUGUAUUGUACUAGGUAUUAGACCUCAAAGAUACAUUUUUCAGCCUGCCCCUAGCACUAGUGAGCCAGCCCCUCUUUGCCUUCAAAUGGACUGACCCAGACACCGGGACUACCGGACAACUGACAUGGACCCGGUUGCCACAGGGAUUCAAGAACUCCCCCACUCUGUUUGGAGAAGCUCUCAGCAAAGAUCUAUGAGAGGUAAGGAGAGUUUUUCCCCAAGCAACUAUUCUUCAGUAUGUAGAUGACCUCCUGGUGGCAACUUCGACCAAUGAAGAAUGUCUUGUGGCCACCGAGGGCCUCCUGGAAGCCCUCCAAGACCUGGGAUAUCGGGUGUCCUGGAAGAAAGCUCAGCUCUGCCAGACCAAGGUAACCUACUUGGGCUAUAUUCUUGAAAAGGGAAAGAGGAGGCUGGCAGAAUCAAGGGCAUCAGCAAUUCUCCAGAUUCCGGAGCCGAGCUCAAAGAAACAGGUGCGGGAAUUCUUAGGGGCGGUUGGGUAUUGCAGAAUUUGGAUCCCUGGCUUUGCUGAGAUUGCCAAACCCCUGCACAAAGCCACCACGGGGGGAAAUACGCCCCUCAAAUGGACUGAGGCAUGCCAGCAGGCAUUUCAAUUGCUUAAGACUGUGCUUACAUCAGCACCUGCCCUGGCACUGCUAGACUUAAACAAGCCCUUCACUCUGUAUGUAGUGGAGAAAAAUGGGGUAGCCAAGGGAGUGAUUACUCAGCUUUUGGGACUGUGGAAGCGGCCAGUGGGAUACCUCUCGAAAAAGCUAGACCCAGUGGCCCGAGGGUGGCCUAUCUGUCUGAGGAUGGUAGCAGCAGCAGCUGCUCUGACCCGAGAGGCUGACAAACUGACAUUUGGACAGGAUUUGACUUUGAUCACUCCCCAUGCCAUUGAGCCCUUGUUAAAUUGCUCACCUAGCAAGUGGCUGUCUAACGCCAGACUGUUACAGUAUCAAGGACUCUUGUUAGAACAGCCACACAUUAAGUUUGCCAAUGCCGUUAGCCUUAACCCAGCUACUCUACUCCCGGAAUCCGACGAACAGAUGCCCAUCCAUGAUUGCCUCGAGACUCUUAAAAACUUGAGGGGAGGGCAUCCAGACUUAACAGACCAGGCCCUCCCCUGUGCAGAGGCAAUGCUCUACACUGAUGGGUACAGUUUCGUGCGUGAUGGAGUGCGGUAUCCUGGGGCAGCAGUGGUCAACCAGGACCAACAGGUGGAAUGGGAGCAGGGGCUACCCCAAGGGACAUCAGCACAGAGGGCUGAGCUGAUUGUUUUGACUAAGGCUCUGGAACUAGAAAAAGGCAAAAGGAUAAAUAUUUUCACUGACAGCCAUUAUGCUUUUGCCACCACCCAUGUGCACGGAUAGAUUUAUCAGAACCGAGGGCUGCUGACCUCUGAAGGAAAGAAAAUUAAAAACAAGACUGAGAUAUUGACAUUCCUACAAGGCAUCUGGUUGCCCCGAAAAGUUGCCAUCAUCCACUGCCGUGGACAUCAAAAGGGGUCUAGCCCUGAGGUGAUUGGUAAUAAUGCAGCUGAUCAGGCAGCAAAACAAGCUGCCCAAAGAUCAGUGGGGAAGCAAAUCGUUCUGCUUCCUACACCGGUACUCCCCAAAAACCCUAAAUACACAGAUAAAGAAGUAACAAAAAUGGACAGGAAAUGCUGGACCCAAGGUAAGCAUGGGUGGUGGACGACUAAUGAUGGAAAGGUGGUGCUCCCAGCCACUGUAGCAGACACGCUGCUACGCAAACUACAUGAGUCCACCCACCUCGGCGAGAAAAGGAUGAUGGCUGCCCUGCGACCCCAUUUCAUCAGCGAGGGAUUGGCCCAAAAGGCCCAGGACAUGGUGAGACAAUGCCCCACCUGCCUCAAGGUAAAUACAAAUCGGGUGACCGGACCCCCCGGGGUCCGACAGAGGAUUAACUCCAGGAAAACAUUGGGAAUUGGACUUUACUGAAAUAAAGCCUGACAUGUAUGGGUAUAAAUAUUUACUAGUUUUUGUGGAUACCUUUUCAAGAUGGAUAAAAGCAUAUCCCACUAAGAGAGAGACAGCUGAAGUAACCAUCAAAAAGCUCUUGACAGAAAUAGUUCCUCAUUUUGGCUUGCCCCUAGCCCUGGGGUCCGACAUUGGCCCAGCCUUCAUGGCUAAAAUAUCUAAAUUGAAUGAUAAAGUUCUAGGGAUAAAAUGGAAUUUACAUUGUGCCUAUAGGCCUCAGAGUUCAGGACAGGUAGAGAGAGCAAAUCAAACUUUAAAAGAGGUCCUAACUAAAUUAUGCCUGGAGACUAAAUUAGAUUGGGUGGAGCUUCUCCCCUUUGCCCUUCUCCACACUAGGUGCACUCCUAAGCCGCCCUUUAAUCUGUCACUCUUCCAGAUCGUUUACGGGUGAUCUCCCCCGAUCGUCCCCAUGAUAGAUUUGGAGUUGGGGGAAAAGCUUUCCCACCUCCAGCUCCUUAAGUCUUUAAAGGCUGUCCAUCAGCUUCAGUCAGAAUUACAUGACAGAUUGAGAAAGACCAUGCCUGACCCCAACAAGAAACCUCUACAACCCUUGCCCUAUAAGCCGGGAGAUUUGGUUUUCAUUUGCAGGUUCGACUCCAAAACCCUGGAACCCUGUUGGAAGGGACCGUUUCCCAUUCUCCUGGUGACUCCCUCAGCCAUGAGGGUAGCUGGACAUUCGGCCUAGAUACAUCACAAUCAUCUAAAGGUGGCACCACCCCCAACCCCAGCAUCAGGAUGGCGAGUCGUUCGACAAGCAAAGGACCCCUUAAAGAUAAGACUGAUCAAGGACUGAGAUGGAUAAUGUGGGGACUUAUAAAAACCCUGGUCCUGUCGGCUCGGGUACAAAGAGAUGUUCAACAGCUGGUGCUCUCCAGCCAUACCCACCAGAACUGGAUGUGGUCUCUUAAAAAUUCACUUACCAGAGCCCUAAUUGCCACUGUUACAACAGAUCAACAGCCCGUUUUUCAGGUAGACCUGUCGGCCCUAGGGUUUCCCAAGGUUUAUUUUGGUGGGAAGGGCCCGAACACUAUAGGACCAAAUUUCCAAACAAUCGGCCUAUACACAUGCCUCAUAGGAAAGGAUCCCAACUGUGAUGGGGGGCCAGGAUAUCACUGUUAUUACUGGGGCUGUGAGUCAAUAGCCCCGUGGGUAAACAAUGAUCCCUUUUUGGCUAUAACUUGGUCUACAAACCCGACAUGUAACCCAGAAAACUGUGAGCCUGUAGAAUUUAGACUAAAACAAUGACAGAACCCCUUCAAAGAUUGGAAAGAGGGAAAUACAUGGACGCUAGUGCUGUAUGUCACUGGAAAAGACCCUAUGACAGACAUCAUCAUCCAGCGAAGUCUAGUAGUGACACGGGCCCAACCAGUGGGAAACCUUUAUAAGAUAUUGAGCCCCAAAAAGACAGUGGCCAACCCCACAGGUGCCAAGGAAAUUCCACUUCCUCGCCGCCGAGAAAAAAAACACGCACUCACCCUGCCGGGUAACACCCUACCCAACAAGGUGCCCGUAACUGCCCGAGUUGCCAAUCCAACCAUACUUAAAAAUGCUGGAUGCUAUGUUUAUGGUGUUAAAUGGAUCAAAUAAUAAUGUUACUAAUAAAUGUUGGAUGUGUCUAAA